GACGGGGCGGAGGCGGGGCGGCGUCUCGGCAGGCAGGUGGCCGUGGGGCGAGGGAGAGGGCCCCUGGAAAGCAGCCUAUGUUUAUUGACUGCGAUUCGCCUCUGAUCCUGGAGCUGGCAAGGGAGCCCCCGGCGGGUAAGUUUGGAUUUUGCGCCCCUGUGUGUGGGUGCGCUUGGCAGGCUGGCAAUGCGAGGUGGCGGCACUCCUGCUCAGGGGCACCUGGCAAACUCAGCAGGCACAGGCGGUAGGGAUCCCAGACGAGUCCUGGCCGCUAGCUCUCAAGGGGGCGGGGGGCGGUGGUGCCCCGCUUUGGUGAGACCGCUGGUGGUGAGGAGCUCCCCAGAAGAAGGUGUAAGAAGAGGAAGCCAGGGGUGGGAUGGAGGGCCCGCAAGAUCAAGAGAGGGAGGGAGCGAGCUGAGCAGGGAAGGAGCUCCAGCAGUCCUCCGGUCCCACAGAUGUGUGCCUGGCAGCCCCUGCGGGCCAGGCCCCUGCAGACAUUGGUGAUAUGGCAGGGAAGAAAAUGGCAAAACUCGCCCCACGUGGGUCCAGGCCUAGUGGCAGGGCGCACACGACAGGAUAGCAAACAUCUUAAAUGAAGGAUGAUAGAGUGUGUUCAUCGGUGGUAAGUGCCCUGGGGAAACUAGAGCAGAGGGAAGGAGGUGAGGGGUUGGGUCACAAGUCUGAGUAGAUGAGGGUAUUUCAGAAAACCUCGAAGGAGAUGAGAGUGUGUACCGGGCAGAGGGAACAACCAGUGCAAAGGGCCUGAGGUAUGAGUGGACUGGUGUGUGGAAGGGAAUGCUCAGAGGGUGGUGUGGCAGGAGCGGAGGGAGCAAGCAGGUGGGCGGGGGGCAGGGCGAGGCCAGGAGGGGCCACAUGGGUCUACUCUGAGUCAGAUGGGCACCCCGGGGAGGGCCGUGAGCAGGCAAGGACAGAACCCCAUUAGGAGGUGGCCCUGUUUACCAUCAGUUCAGCCUCUGCCCCUCCCCCGCCCCCCACCGCCCAGGACGGGGGAGACCCCAGUUGCAAGGCUGAUCCUUAGAUGAUCCUUAGGGGGCUUUGUUGGGUGGAGCAGCGUGGAAGGCCCUGGGGUGACCUGCGGCCUCCCUAGGCCCAGGGCCCUGGGGCCGACCCACCCAGCGGGCUGCAAGCGCUGCGGUCCCCAGGGAAGGCUGCCGGAGCCAGGAGGAGGCAGCCGGGGUCUCCAAGUGCCAGGCCUCAGAGGAAGUCCACCAGGAAGGAAGAAGCCUGACUGCAAGAGGCCUGGCGCCACUCCUCCUCACAGAUGAAGAAACCCCAGUUCCUGAUCCCGCCUGUGUGGGGUCGCCUCCUGCCUUUCCUGGGGUUUGUGUUCUGUGUUCUUUUCCCGGGGAAAUAGCCCCAUCUCCUGGUCUUCUGUAGGCACCAGCACGAAGCCCACUCACUGGCUGCCUCCUUUUUUUUUUUUUUUUUUUUUCAAUUUUGUUUAAAUCUUUCUCUAUUUUUGAGAGGGACAGAGAGCCACAGAGCACAAGCAGGGGAGGGACACAGAGAAAGGGAGGCACAGAAUCCGAAGCAGGCUCCUGGCUCCGAGCUGUCAGCACAGAGCCCGACACGGGGCUCGAACUCACGAACUGUGAACUGUGAGAUCAUGACCGGAGCCCAAGUCGGAGGCUUAACCGACUGAGCCACCCGGGUGCCCCUCCCUUUUCAUUUUGAACACCAGCAAGCAAACAGACGAAAUCGAGAGGACAGUCUAAGGCAGCGCAGGUGCCCACCCCCCAGGGCUAGCGGCAGCCUCCAGCUUGCCUUGUUUGCUCGUUUCUCUCUUUCUCGGUUUCUCCCUCCCUUUGUCCUUCUAUCCUUCGCUCCCUGCUUUUCUCGCUCUCUCGCUCUCUCUUUCUCUCUCUCCUUUUCCCUUUCCUUUGUUUUUGCUGAAAUAGUUUACAGCAAGCGUGCAUACCAUUUUCUCCCUACGUGCUUCAAGAAGGAAGGACAUUUCCUCCCAUGACCCAGUGCCGUUAUCCAUCCAACCCAUGCCCAGCGCGGGCUCCUGCUGUCGUCUGAGAGCCACUGCACAGUCACCCUCCAGGCCCCCACUGCCUUUGACUCCUCUUUCCUUCACACCAGCAUCUCAUCAAGGACUUCGUUACACUUGACCAUUGGCCAUCUGGUUAUCCUUUCAUCUGAAGCAGCCUCUCUCCCCGGCCUCGUCUUUUCCCCCUGACGCUGAGACACGCAGGAGACCGGGAACUGCCCACCUUCUAGAUUGGGCCGGUUGCUCCCUUGUAGCUAGUGUCUUGAAGUGGUCCCUCUGUCCCCAGUAUCCUUUAUAAACUGGGUGUGGGGGCACAAGGCUGCAUUAGAAUUGGGUCAAGCUUUGGCAAGAGCCUUCCUUGUGCCCUCCCUGGGGUGGCAUCGUCACAGCAGGCAUGUCCGACCUCUGUCCAGCAGCCAUUCGCUUAGCUUUCUGUCUCGUGACCAGCGGUAAGCAGGGGAAGACAUCUUGACAUCGUGCGGCUAUCCACGCCUCCUAGGUCUGUCACCCGGCGGUUUUCGUGUCCACUCCACCUUAAGGGAUUCUUUCUAUCCGAUUAAUGUAAAUGUCGCCAUCAGACACAUGAGUUUAUUUCUUCUGGGCUAGUGUUGAUUGACGGCUCGUCACUGGCGAAAAGGGACCUUCUUGCGGCAAUUUAAAUGCUCCGGGACCCCGUCCCCCCAUCCUCUCUCCUGUAGCGUGAGUAAGCUGUAGUCACCCACGCAGCAAAAGCAUCCUGGACCCGCUCCCCACCAGCCACUGCCUGGCUCUUCCGCUUCCCCACCGGGGAAUUGCACAUUCUGGCCUCCAGCUGGGUGCAGAGCACAUCCUUGGAGCAAACUUUCUUUGGCCCCGCUGUUUCCUGGCACUGAGAACCGAUGCGGAGGAAUCAGACACUGCCCACUCUGUCCAUGACAGACUCUUCCUGCCCUUGGUGUGGAGUGGUAUGUGUGUGUUGGGAGGUUUUCUGUAAGGACCCUGACCUGAGAGGAAAAGGGGUCAGCAGUGGAGCUUCCGGGGAUGGCUGGAAAGUCGGGGUGCAGGGGUCCUGCCCCCAUGGGAAGAAAGGAAUGAGAAAGAGGAAGCCAAGGCUCGCCGGAGGUGGGCAGGACUCCCUGUCUGGCAGCCCACUGCCCAGGUGAGGGGAGAGGGCGGCAGCUCGGUCUGGGAAAGUGUUAUGGGUUGGAUUGUGUCCCCCAGGAAAGAUGCGUUCGAGUCUUGCCCGCCAGCAGCUGUGACUGGGACCUAACCUGGAUGAGGUGGUGCUGCACUAGGGCGGGCCUCAUCUCGCACUUGGCUUUUGCCAAUCCCCUUAGCUUGUUUGUACCCCCGCGGUGGCAGCCGUUCUCUUGAAGGCCGGACCCAAGGUGAGCGGGGCUCCCUGACCGUCUCCAUCCGCCCCCUCAUCAUGCCCCAGCCUCACAACUCUGGCAACCCCGAGUCUCCCCUUAGCUGCUGAGUUCUCUGAGUCCCCACCCCCACCCCAUGUUUGGUUGCCGCCCGCCCAUCCUGCGACCCAUGGGGGUGAAUUCCCCUGCAGCCCCAGGAAUUUCUCAUUUUAGGUGCCGGUAUCGUUUGAAGACGUGUCUGUGUACUUCAUCAAGACAGAAUGGAAGCUUCUGGACCUCAGUCAAAGGAUCCUCUACAAGAGAGUGUUGCUGGAGAACUACCGCCAUUUGGUGUCACUGGAUGCUGACGCUGGGCUGAGUUCAGGAGUGACUGAUCUGCUUCGUUUCCAUGGACAGGACUUUUAGCCUCCAAGCCUCACCUGGUCUCCUGGCUGGAGCAAGGGGACGAGCCCCAGGCAGCAGACAUCCACGGGACACGGGCUGCUGCGGGGGUGCGGACGGGUGACGGGAUAGAGAACAGGACGUCGACUUCAAAGCAGAAGCAUUGCCCCCAAGAGCUCCUGAGGACUGGCCCUCGGGGCGGUAACAAGAGCCAGGUGGCCCGGCCAACAGGGGAGACCGCUAAUCACACAGGGAAACAUGCUCGUUCCCCACAGACAGGUUCUGGCAGGGGUGAUCAGCCUGGGGAGAGAGGUCAAGGCGGCUCCUCCGGCGAGGGAAGAGCGAUGAGGUAGAGAAGACAGGACGGCGUUAGGUGGGAUUAGGGUCUCAGGCCGCGGGGUGCGCCGGGCGCCGACAAGCAGCACCUGUGUCCGCAGUGUGGGAAAUCCUUCAGUCGCAGUUCCAACCUCCUCAAGCACCGGCGCACCCACAGCGGCCACAAGCCCUACACGUGCGGCUAGUGUCUCAAGGCCUUCAAGGGCGCGUCCCAGUUCAUUCACCGCCAGCGCGUCCACAGCAGGGAGAAGCUGUUUGCGUGCCAAGAGUGCGGGAAG